AGAAAAACAUCAUCAUCAAAAGAUUUGCUUCAGUCUGUUUCAUAUAUCCAUCCUCUACCUGCAGAAGAGCAUGUCCACCAGAAGCUCCAACAGCAUGGACGCCGUGAGGAGGAUGCGGGCGAAACGUUCCUGCCGCCUUGGAUGGAGAAGCUGGACCACCUCGCUCAGGGCGUGCUGGGCUUCUUGUUGCAAGCCUUCGAUGAACAGUGAUGCCUUUAGAUCAGGGAUGUCUGUUGAAUAAGGAUCUUCUUCAGCAUGCUGUCGGCCGGUACGUCCUCCACCUCAAAGUCCACAUGCUCCUGAGCCAGACCCAGGAUGAAGAGCGGCACCCAACAGUUUUUGAGGAGUAUAAACUGGUCAUUGGGUGGAAGCUGCUUGAAAGCAGGUAAAUUCUUCAUAAAAUGGACCGUUUUCACCAAAACCGACGAGGCUUCCUUGCAAAUUUCUGUCGGCCUUUUCAAGCACACCGUCCGGCGUAGCUCACAAGUGCAUCGGUGAGGUAUCGAAUUAUAAUCACUGCUGUCAUCGAGUUGACUGAGAAUUUUGAAGAGGAUAGGAUUCAGAACUCUAUCGCUGCAGCACUGGCAUCGGUUAUCCAUCACGGAGAAGUUCUUCAGGAGUGAGGCGCUCUCGCCUCCGCCACGUCGGUAUUUAUAAGGCCGCCCGAAUGGACCUUGACUUGUCAAUACGCUCUCUGUGAAAAACAGCCAUAUGCUCUGCCAGGUGACUGGUGGUAUAACUCGGAGAAACUGAUAAGCUUUUCUCAAUGAAAAAGAAGCUGGUGGAGUAACGUCGGAAAAUCAAGAGGGCUGGGCCUUAUCUCGGGGUCCGUGUCAUUAACCCAGGCCGUACCAUGCUACCAAGGACUCCGAGGGUAAUCAGGUCUGAUGGGUCCCCGUGGACACACUGCCAGAUCAUACUUGGCCAACAGAGCAGUGGGGCACUGACCCAGAAGUUAAGUACUCAGUAUGAUGUCAUUUGUAUAUUUUUGUAAUAGUUUGAGGAAACCUUCGGAGACCUACAAACCAACCUUUAGUGGCAAAUUUAAUUUGGAAUGGUCUCAAACCUGAAGCCCAGGGGACAUUUGUGGCCCACAGGAUGAUAUUUUGCAGUCCCCUAUGUGAGAUAAAAAAUAAUGUUGGUUAUUUUAGUCACUACUACAGGCCAGGAUCUAGUUAUAAUUAGUUGUUCUGAAUAAAUAAGAACUUAUAGGAAAAUAAAAUAAUUAAAACAUUAUUUAAAUAAAACAAAAAAUAUUUCUUGAUUUUAGUUAAAGUUAGAACCCCCCACUUGAUAUUAAUUGGAAUAAAUGAUCUGGUUUUUAAAGCAGAAUCAUGGUGCCUUACUGCCUGAGUACAUUGUGAAGAAGUUAAAAAGGUAUUCCUUUUACUUAAAAAUGAUUGAAAUGUCAUAAUUUCCUCUUCGCAAUAAUUUGAAAAUGCAUCAAUGAUUAAACCUAAAGCCAAGACAAUCAUUGUGUUAAUGGCACACUUGUUCUGUUCUGAAGGGUGAAACUAAUCAAUUCAAUCUAAGGAAUUUCAAUUUAUGCUGUCACUUGGUGUUCCAGGUUGUACUUUUUUUUUUUUUAAGGUAAGCCCAUAAUGUUAUCUCCGCUGUGCCUGGCACGGAGGCUUGACGCUGAUAAGAAGAUUGCUUUAUUAUUAUCCCAAAUAAACAAACAACGC